rnacentral:rRNA from 1 species
GAUGAACGCUGGCGGCGUGCCUAAUACAUGCAAGUCGAGCGAACAGACGAGGCUCUUGUUCCUCUGACGUUAGCGGCGGACGUGUGAGUAACACGUGGAUCACCUCCCUAUCUGUCUGGUAUCACUUCGGGAAACCGGCGCUAAUACCGGAUAAUAUAUUGAACCGCAUGGUUCAAUAGUGAAAGUCGGUUUUUCUGUCUCUUAUCGCUGGUUCCGCGCCGCAUUAGCUAGUUGGUAAGGUAACGGCUUACCACGGCGACGAUGCGUAGCCGACCUGAGAGAGUGAUAGGCCACACGGGAAGGGAGACAGGGUCCAGAGGCCUAAGAGAGGCAGCAGUAGGGAAUCUGACGCAAUGGGCGAAAGCAUGACGGAGCAACGCCGCGUGAGUGAUGAAGGUCUUGGGAGCGUAAAACUCGGUUAUGAGGGAAGAACAAAUGUGGAAGUAACUGUGCACGGAGUGACGGUACCGAAUCAGAAAGCCACGGCUAACUACGUG